rnacentral:misc_RNA from 1 species
GAUGAAGAACGCAGCGAAAUGCGAUAAGUAAUGCGAAUUGCAGAAUCCGUGAGUCAUCGAAUCUUUGAACGCACAUUGCGCCCGCCAGUAUUCUGGCGGGCAUGCCUGUUCGAGCGUCAUUACAACCCUCAGGCCCCCGGGCCUGGCGUUGGGGAUCGGCGGAAGCCCCCUGCGGGCACAACGCCGUCCCCCAAAUACAGUGGCGGUCCCGCCGCAGCUUCCAUUGCGUAGUAGCUAACACCUCGCAACUGGAGAGCGGUGCGGCCACGCCGUAAAACACCCAACUUCUGAAUGUUGACCUCGAAUCAGGUAGGAAUACCCGCUGAACUUAAGCAUAUCAAUAAGCGGAGGA